rnacentral:pre_miRNA from 1 species
AGCUUUCUGCAUCCGUGCCAAGAUUUCGUCAGAGAUCAACCCGCUGGCGUUGGCUGAUGGUACUUCCCAAAUAAGUGAAGCG